rnacentral:tRNA from 1 species
UUAGCUCAGUUGGUUAGAGCAUGGUGCUAAUAAUGCCAAGGUCAGGGUUAGAUCCCCAGA